CGAACCCACGUAUCUACCUAGCCGGCCACUCCGCCGCGGGGAUUAGGGAUCGCCACCGCAUGGCUCAGCCAUGGCCACGUCGCCGCCGUCCACCUCCGCCAUGGCCGGCCUAGCGCCGCCGUCCACGUGCGCCAUGACCGGCCUAGCGCCUCUGUCCACCUCCUCCGUGGCUGCCAUAGCGCCGCUGUCCACCUCCCCCAUGUCUGCCUCAGCGCCGCCGCCUGCCUCCACCGUGCUCAGCCCAGUGCCGUUGUUUACCUCGACCAUGGCCCCCAGCAGCUCUUCCCAUCACCAAUCCAUCCCCCUAUCCCACCAUUCCCAUCGCCAGCAAGGUCCGCCAGAAGAGGCCGACAUGAAUCCCCAAGAUCAAGAUCCAAGAGGACUAGAUGAUUGCAGCGUCAGAGAAGAAUUUGUAACAAUCUACAAUAAGAGUCUUUUGAGUAUGCUUUUAUUUCUGGAGGACGCAUCCUGAGUGACUACUUAACCUAGACAGAUACGAACGCACAUCAUUAGAGCCUAGGGAGAAGAUCAAGGUAUAUGUGAUAAUUUAUAUUCCCUAGGAAAAUAUACAAUGGGGCUCGAGUCAACAUAUCCUUACCUGGGAAGAUAUUUGGCGGAAGCUCCUAGCUGUGAGAUAUCUGUAACACUUGUGUCGCCUUAUAUUGAAUAUUUUCAGUCGACCGAACGUUUCAAAGAUUUCACUAGUUGGUUUGCUGAAUCUGGAAAUGAUAUUUAGUUCUGAUUGAUGAUAGGUUGGCAUAUAUCUGUUUGUGUAUCCGUCCACUUAUUUUGCUUUUUUUAGGGCUACACUUGGUUUGCUAUAGAAAUUAGCUAAUUAUUCCUGUUGAGAAUUUGAUCACCUUUUCUCCAUUGAUCAAGUAUCUUCUCGUGGAGGUGUGGAUGAAGGACCCCUCCAAUGUGCAAAAAAUUGGCACAUGGAGCUGCCGGAGCCAGACGGCCCAGCCCCAUCGCCGACAGAAAAGCGCAGGAUGGUGCAUGGCGUCAUCAUCUAUGUUGGAUCAGUGGAGGAUCACAGCACCACGUUGAUAUGGAAAGAGAUGAUUUGGCGAAGAAAAGACCCAUCUACUUUGCAAUUACUAUACUUUGUCUAUAAGAAGUUACUGUACAUAUGCAUUUCCCUAUCAGUAUUCUGCAGCUAAACGAGGAAACUUGGUAUGUAUGAUUUGUCAUGAGUUGGAACCAGCAAGUGCUUCUUCCAUCUGUUCUUCAA